AUUGAACGCUGGCGGCAUGCCUUACACAUGCAAGUCGAACGGUAACGCGGGGGCAACCCUGGCGACGAGUGGCGAACGGGUGAGUAAUACAUCGGAACGUACCCAGUAGUGGGGGAGUAGCUCGGCGAAAGCCGGAUUAAUACCGCAUACGACCUAUGGGUGAAAGCGGGGGAUCGCAAGACCUCGCGCUAUUGGAGCGGCCGAUGUCGGAUUAGCUAGUUGGUGAGGUAAAGGCNCACCAAGGCUACGAUCCGUAGCUGGUCUGAGAGGACGACCAGCCACACUGGGACUGAG
rnacentral:rRNA from 1 species